rnacentral:misc_RNA from 1 species
CUUUGGGGAUGACUUUGACGGCAACCUGCUGCCCUUUAAGCUCGCCCUUCUUAAACUUGGCCUGACAAGUGUACCCAAAAUGUCCUCUCCCAACCUCGUCUCCCAGCUCAUACUUGCUACCAAAAUGCUUGGAAAAUCCAAAGCUCUUAUCAAGCCCCGCCACCUCCGGCUCGCUCCCCUCCGGAAUCGCCGCCUCGUUCGGCUUAACUGAGCCAUGCCGUCGCGCCAGAACAGCACGUAUAUGCUUCGCAGGGGACGGCGGGGGAAACGGCCUCUUGAAGAACCGCUUAGGAGUGGAGUUGGCGCUGGCCGCAUUCGUAGCCGGAGACCUCGCCGGCGACGACUUUUUCGAGAAGAAGUAGUGCGCAGGACUGGGACUAUAAAACGGGAAAAAUGGCGAUUUCUUAACACUCUCUAACACCAUUUUCUCAUCCUUACAGGUUUUCUCCUUCUCUUCUUCGUUAUGAUCCUCAAUGCUAGGGUUUUCCCCUCCAUUUCCGGCAGCCAAAUCUGAUUUAGGCACAUCCGUAGGCGGGAUAGACUUACCAUUAGAUCCAACAGCAGCGAAUCUAGUAUCGGACACAGGAGAUGCUAAAGUACUCGGGUUUGGGGAGGGUUUGGAGUUGCAGAGACCCAUCCUUGAGCCUCCCCAAACACAGAGAGAAAUCUGUCAAAGAAAAAUUUUGAUUUCCGAUUCAGGUCAAAGCAUUAUAAAUCAAUAAAUCGAAUCGGAAUGAAACCGCCGGUUUCCAAUUCUAGGGUUUAAAUUUUCAUUCUCCAAUUUUUGAAAAGAAGGAAAAGG